AUGUUGGACAGCAUCUUGAGAAAGUGAACAUAUGAAGAUCAACAGCCUUAUGCCUUUACUAGAUGCUCAGAAGAUAUUCUCAGUCUUCUCAAGAGCAACAGCAUAUGGUAUAAAAGAGCAGUUCCAGAAUGGCUCGAGAGUCACUGAAACCAAGCGAGGUAUCAGUAUCCUAAGACCUGCAACAUAUUUAAACAGAAGUUAACAUAACUGUUCACUGAAUGGAGCUACCUGAAAAUUCACAACUGCCAGAGAACUUCGUGCUGUCAGAGGAAAAGGACAGACAUUUCAACAGUCCAUUUCUGGCUCUUGGUCUCACCUUUGGGUAAGUGAGUAUUUUAGUGCGUCAUGGUACAGAAGACACAUGGGACAGAAGACAAGACAGAAGACAAAUAAUCCUGUUCAACCUACAAAAGGCUCUCACAGUAGCAUUCAAAAAGAAAAGGAGGAUGUUUUGAACUUCUACUGGAAGACUGACAUCACACUUAAAGAUGAUAUGAGGAGUGAUAUCGGGUCUGUACAUUGCUAACACGUUAUUUAUACAUGCUAUAUGUUAACUUGCCAAACUGGAGAGUUUGUCACGUGGAGAACCAGGCAGUGCAGAAUGGGUUGACACAGUCUCAGAAGAUACAGGUCAUGAGAGCAACAAUUUGUUUUGACAGCAGUUGUGUUUCUACUACCAGAAAUGCUCUCUGCUUUUCUUAAAUACUUCUGACAUACUGCAUGGCAUUUAUUUUUCUGCCAAAUUAAUUAUGCAGCUUCCCUUUUCACCCUGCCAUCAGUAGCAUCAUUUUAUCCAGGGGUGAGCUGGAGCCUGAAGCUGGCCCGAGUGGGCUGGCUGGGCCCAGGCGAGCUGUGCCAGAACAUCAGGCUGUUUCUGUGUGUCAUUCCCCAAGCCAGGGCAGUUCCUGCUCCCCACCACAGAUCUGAGCUGUGUUUUCUGUGCUGUGUGGCACUCAAAUUAGACUUACCUGGCAGAUCUGCUUAUGGUAAGAUGGUAGGACAGACCUCUUUGUAUCUUACACAGAAUGGUUUAGGUCAGAAGGGACCUCUGGAGGCCAUGUAGUCCAGCCCCCUCUCAAGUAGCAGGGAAAGAACAUUUAAUUCUUCAUCGCAGAGUGCCAUGAAAGUCAUAGGUGAGCUUUGUUUGGUGUCCAGUGUGUUCUCUCUAGAAGUAUGAAGGCAGACUUUGAAAGCCAUGGAAGCAGAAUGCUGCAUGCCAAGUUAUCUGUAUUCUUUUUAAGUUUUUAAUAGUGUUUUGUACUCAUAUAUGUUGAUCCUACUUGGAUUAGCUGUAGGUAAACUACUCUAAAAUCCAUACUUGCAUGGAGACCCGACUGUGAUUCUAUUUGUGUGAUGAUAACCACAGCUAAUGGCAUUUUUCUAAUGAGUUUAUGAAAUUCUGGGGAGACUUUUAUUAUUUUGUUCUUGGAUUUUUUUUCUGCAUAUCUUUCCCUGAAGUAUAGUUUAGCUUUUUGUUAGUCUGUCAAAUAGACAUUCUCACAUUCUCAAGAGAAGAUUGGGUGUUUUUUUUUUUUUCCUGAGGCCAGCUGUUUUCUAAGAAGAAGAAAAAAGAGUUUUUUUUUGUUUUUUUUUGUUUUUUUAAUCGAUUUAAACAUGAGUUUGGGAGGAAUUUGGAUCUUUCUUUCUUUUGUAACUGUAGAAAACUUCUGUUGAGUGCAUGUCCCCAUGAUUUUCUUCAACAGCAUGUACUGUGGUAUUACAGAAUACACAAGAAUAUAAUAGAGUUAGACCUGAAUGUAGCAAUAUUUUGUUGUCAGUUAUGUUAGCUCAGAAAUGCCUCUAACAUUGUUAAAAGUAAUCCAAGAUGGAAUCUCUUACUGCCUGUUAGUUGUCUCUUGAUGAUGAUUAUUAUUUGAUAUUUGUUUCUUCAUGGAGGUAGAUAUUCAAGAAAAGAGUGAUGUUCCCAUCAAAACUAUUUUCCUGUAUACUAAAUUAAAACCUGAACAAAAAGAAAUGGUUUUGCCAGAUACGAUAAAGUUUUUAUUAUGAAUGUCUCUUUAACAUAUUUUAGAUACUUAGAAUGCUUUCAAAAUUAUUCGUAACCUUGCAAAGCCAUUUCUUGAGACAAAUAGAUAGGUUGGUUUGUUUGAACAUCCAGCAGAGAAACUGGAUUGCUGAAUUACCACCAGUUAUUAUUCAAGUGGGUUUUUUCUCUAAAGGCUGCUGCAGCCAGGGACAUUCAUCGGCGUAGCCCAGUGGAGACUUCACUUCCUACACACAGGUUUGGGAAAAGCCCAUUUGUUUCUGAACAAUUACAAAUUCAAAAUGUACAGGGCUUUAAUAUGCUAAUAUUGUCACAAUGAUUUUUUUUUUUAAAUUUAUGAAAGAAACAGAUUGAAGGAAAUCUUGUGCUUUAUUAUCAAGAUCUGCUGGAGGUAGAAUCUAUCAGUCUUACCUUUGUCUUGAAGUCCAGUAAUUCUGCAUUCCAGUGAUUAAUUUGCUAGGAAGUUCCAUCAUUCAGCACCCUUGAAUUGCAUCACUGAGUUUUUAUGAAACAUUUUUAUUACUGACUGAAAUAUUUGGAAAAAAAAUGGUUUAACGACUCUUGAGGCACAUAUUCUGAGUGAAAAAUAAAUAAAUAAAAUAGCCCAACUUCUUUCAACAUGCAGAUCUGAAACACUGUUAAAGAAUCAAAGCCCUCCCUAUCCUUUACGCUUUGCAAUCUGUGCUGGUGUUCUUUUAAGGUGAGAUGUUCUCAGAUAUUGAUGCUAUUGAGAGCUUUUCUAUUGAGGCUGAAGUUUUGUAUUAAUUACAAUAGUAAGUGGCAUUUAGAAACAUGAAAUGAAAUAGCUUGAAAACUUCUAAAACUACUCCAACAUUGCUUUUGAAUUUCAUUUUAAAAUAUCAGUCUUGGAUAUUUGUUAAUAGAAGAUAAAUAAGAAAUUAUAGAAAUAAGAAAUAAUAAAAGCAAUAUAUAUUCAGGGAGAAUUUCUGUAUAGAAGAAACAUAGUUUGCUGCAUGGAUGUAUAAUUAACAGAGAAUUAAAUUUACAUCUAUG